rfam:Prevotella sp. oral taxon 302 str. F0323 genomic scaffold supercont1.1, whole genome shotgun sequence.
CGCAAACGGGGAAGUGCCGUGCGGCCAGCUCCCUACAAAUCCCCCCAGAGCUUGAUCGCAGCAAGGGUAGUUGGUUGUAGCGGUGCGAUACGGAGAGCUUUCCCACCC